AAAGAGCACAGAUUCUUGAAUAAGUGCACGGAAAAGCAAUGACUAAGUGAUUCGUGUGCAAAUAAACACUAGAGGACCAAAAGGAGGAGCGAUAUAAAGGGUAACAACUCAAAAGAAGAAGAGCGAGACAGACCACAGGGUCACAUCAGGAGAAAAAAAGAAGGAACGAAAAAGGAAAAUAACACCUAGAAAGUUAUGAGCUACAUCAGGGAGUGCCGUUACAAAGGCAAAACUCCCGACUGACAACUGAGAACGGAAGUGAAGAAGAGGAACGAAAAGGUAAACAAACACGUCUCGGCCUUCUCCUCGGCGGCACACGUGACGGCCUCGGCUCCCCGCAGGGCGCGAGUAUUCGAGCACCAUGCGUUUUGUUAUGUGUGCUGUUGCAGACUGCUUGUCUUCUUCACGGAAGGUACGAGGCCGACUCCUACACAGGAAGGGCGGCUGGGCGCCAUUCCCAUGCCGUGAAAAACAGCCCUGGAGACGGAAAGUAUGGGAAACGAGAUGCAGAAGAGGGUUUAACUGGAAAGCAACGGACAGUUCCCGUAUCUGCUCCAAACACUUCAGGGAAUGGACAAGAAAGGGCCCUUCCCAGGACCACCCAGACCCUGUAUGCUUUACUUACAAUGACUGGGGAAAAAGACCCAACCCCGGGAGGAGUGGGAGAGUACAACUCAGGGUCCCGGUCCUCGGGGGAAGUCUGGGCAGAGUGGCUAGUAGGGUUACUCCUCAUGCUGAUGCUACUACCUAUACUGCCACUCCUGAUGACACAGAACAUUACACAGAUGCUAAUUGCAUCACAGCAUUCAUAGCAGCAAUACCCAGUCCAAAUGCAGACCACAGCUAUUCUCAAACCUGUCGGCCAGUGAUGAACAAAGACGCUGAACAAGCUGAUGUUGGUGUGCAGACACACGUCACUGUAUCACAAAAAGAUUUGAUAGACCCUUUGAUGCCAGUAUUAGACAAGUCAUCACAGUCUUUGCUGGACUCAUCCCAGAGACCAGUAACACCUCAUCCCCCUGUUGAGGAGGUAACAACAAACACCCCAUCCUGCACCCAGUCUCGCACCAUGCAUCACCAUGGGGGGAGGCAAGAGGCAGCAGCCACAAAUAAAGAUAAGGCCAAUCACUCUGUUGCUUGGCAAGACCCAAAAAUCAUGGCAGCAAUAGAGGCUUUCACUAAGGCAUGCCAAGCCUUUGAAAAAACAAUGACCAGUAUUGAUUCCUUGGUCUCAAAAUUACAUAAUAAAUACUUAUGAAUGUACAA